UACGAAGGGUGCAAGCGUUACUCGGAAUUACUGGGCGUAAAGCGUACGUAGGUGGUUCGUUAAGUCUGAUGUGAAAGCCCUGGGCUCAACCUGGGAAUGGCAUUGGAAACUGGCGACCUAGAGUGCGGUAGAGGGUAGUGGAAUUCCCGGUGUAGCAGUGAAAUGCGUAGAGAUCGGGAGGAACAUCCGUGGCGAAGGCGACUACCUGGACCAGCACUGACGCUCAUGCACGAAAGCGUGGGGAGCAAACAGG
rnacentral:rRNA from 1 species